UAGCAAUGAAGAAAGCUGUGCUCUUGUGGUGAUUUUGGGUCUCCACAGCUUGUCUGAUCUUAAUUAGAUGAUGACAAACAGUGCCUCUGAGCUC
rnacentral:snoRNA from 1 species